rnacentral:lncRNA from 1 species
GGAGAUGUUUCAGUACAUGCAGAGCCUUGGCGUCACAUUCGAUUUUUCUCCUCCACCUUCGUUGUUCCCUAUAGCUGACCCUGCUUAGUUCCAUACUCCUGUGAAUAUCAAAAUUCUAGUCCUGCAUUAUAUAUAUUCAUUUGGUCUCACAAAUGCAAUCUGUUCUCUGUGUAGGGACAAUCUACAGCAUAAAACAAUCCUCAUGGAUCGUCCAGUCUGGCCACGCACCUCGCUGAUGACAUUUGUGUUGCUAACAUGUUUGAGAAACUUGUUGUGAGAUACUUGGUGAGAUACUUGUUGUGAGAUACUUGGUGAGACUUAUGUUUGUGAAACUUUUUGAUGUGUUGAUAUUUGUGAGAUAUAUGGUGUUGGUGAUACAUGUGCUAAUUCUGUGAUAUAUGUGAUGUCUAUAAUAUGUAUCUUUUGUUUGUUUGUAUGAAUAGCAAAAACAAAUAAAAAGGGGCAUUCUGAUCACUUUGCCGAGUGUAACACUCGGCAAAAGGUAAGUGCCAUGACCAUAGCACUCAGCAAAGAAGGUACACAUGGGAACCGAUAAAGCUUAUUUGUCGAGUGUUGUAGUCGAGGCACUCGACAAACAAGCAACCUUUUGUCGAGUACCUCCUAAUGCACUCGGCAUAGAGACUGGCAAAAGGGGCCUACGUGGGUCUUCUUUGCCGAGCGUUAGUCUAGCAGACACUCGGCAAAGGCUCUGUCACCGUCACUUGGUGUCGUGACGACGACUUUUCUUUGCCAUGUACAAGAUAGCACUCGGUAAAGCAUUUACCGAGUGUCCGACAAAAAGUACUCGGCAAAAAAAUCGAUGUAUAGUUAACAAGAGUCACACUCGGUAAAUACUUCGCUAAGUGUUUUAUAACCUUUGCCGAGUGCCAUCUACGUCCGGCAUAUAAGACCGGUGGGAAUACGUACCAGCUGCCUGCGGGGCGCUACGACGGGUCCAUGCCUCGCGCGAGUCGGACACCAACGGCAACCUGCCACUGCGCCGACGGCCAACGCCACCAUGCUCACGCAGGUCUUUGGCGCCAAGGGUCUGACGCAGAAGGACUGUCUCCCCCUUCUACAAUGGGGACUCGGGGUCAGGCAAACUGCAG